rnacentral:rRNA from 1 species
UGGGGAAUAUUGCACAAUGGGCGCAAGCCUGAUGCAGCCAUGCCGCGUGUAUGAAGAAGGCCUUCGGGUUGUAAAGUACUUUCAGCGGGGAGGAAGGGAGUAAAGUUAAUACCUUUGCUCAUUGACGUUACCCGCAGAAGAAGCACCGGCUAACUCCGUGCCAGCAGCCGCGGUAAUACGGAGGGUGCAAGCGUUAAUCGGAAUUACUGGGCGUAAAGCGCACGCAGGCGGUUUGUUAAGUCAGAUGUGAAAUCCCCGGGCUCAACCUGGGAACUGAAUCUGAUACUGGCAAGCUUGAGUCUCGUAGAGGGGGGUAGAAUUCCAUGUGUAGCGGUGAAAUGCGUAGAGAUGUGGAGGAAUACCGGUGGCGAAGGCGGCCCCCUGGACAAAGACUGACGCUCAGGUGCGAAAGCGUGGGGAGCAAACAGG